GAGUGGCGGACGGGUGAGUAACACGUGGGUAACCUGCCCUAAAGUGGGGGAUAACAUUUGGAAACAGAUGCUAAUACCGCAUAAAACCUAGCACCGCAUGGUGCAAGGUUGAAAGAUGGUUUCGGCUAUCACUUUAGGAUGGACCCGCGGUGCAUUAGUUAGUUGGUGAGGUAAAGGCUCACCAAGACCGUGAUGCAUAGCCGACCUGAGAGGGUAAUCGGCCACACUGGGACUGAGACACGGCCCAGACUCCUACGGGAGGCAGCAGUAGGGAAUCUUCCACAAUGGACGAAAGUCUGAUGGAGCAACGCCGCGUGAGUGAAGAAGGUUUUCGCAUCGUACAACUCUGUUGUUGGAGAAGAACGUAUUUGAUAGUAACUGAUCAGGUAGUGACAGUAUCCAACCAGAAAGCCACGGCUAACUACGUGCCAGCAGCCGCGGUACUACGUAGGUGGCAAGCGUUGUCCGGAUUUAUUGGGCGUAAAGCGAGCGCAGGCGGCUUCUUAAGUCUGAUGUGAAAGCCUUCGGCUCAACCGAAGAAGUGCAUCGGAAACUGGGAAACUUGAGUGCAGAAGAGGACAGUGGAACUCCAUGUGUAGCGGUGAAAUGCGUAGAUAUAUGGAAGAACACCAGUGGCGAAGGCGGCUGUCUGGUCAGUAGACGCUGAGGCUCGAAAGCAUGGGUAGCAAACAGGAUUAGAUACCCUGGUAGUCCAUGCCGUAAACGAUGAGUGCUAGGUGUUGGAGGGUUUCCGCCCUUCAGUGCCGCAGCUAACGCAUUAAGCACUCCGCCUGGGGAGUACGACCGCAAGGUUGAAACUCAAAGGAAGUGACGGGGGCCCGCAGAAGCGGUGGAGCAUGUGGUUUAAUUAGUAGCAACGAGGAGAACCUUACCAGGUCUUGACAUCCUUUGACCACUCUAGAGGUGGAGGUGUCCCUUCGUGGACAAAGUGGCGGGAGGUGCUGGGUUGUCGUCAGCUCGUGUCGUGAGAUGUUGGGUUAAGUCCCGCAACGAGCGCAACCCUUAUUACUAGUUGCCAGCAUUUAGUUGGGCACUCUAGUGAGACUGCCGGUGACAAACCGGAGGAAGGUGGGGACGACGUCAAAUCAUCAUGCCCCUUAUGACCUGGGCUACACACGUGCUACAAUGGAUGGUACAACGAGUCGCGAGACCGCGAGGUUUAGCUAAUCUCUUAAAACCAUUCUCAGUUCGGAUUGUAGGCUGCAACUCGCCUACAUGAAGCCGGAAUCGCUAGUAAUCGCGGAUCAGCAUGCCGCGGUGAAUACGUUCCCGGGCCUUGUACACACCGCCCGUCACACCAUGAGAGUUUGUAACACCCAAAGCCGGUG
rnacentral:rRNA from 1 species